GACGAACGCUGGCGGCGUGCUUAACACAUGCAAGUCGAACGGAAAGGCCCGGCUUUUGUUGGUUGCUCGAGUGGCGAACGGGGGAGUAACACGUGAGUAACCUGCCCUUGACUUUGGGAUAACUUCAGGAAACUGGGGCGAAUACCGGAUAGAAUCUCCUGCUCCAUGGUGGUGGUUGGAAAGUUUCGGCUGUGGGGGAUGGAUUCGCUGGUUAUCAGCUAGUUGGUGGAGUAGGCGCUUACCAAGGCUUUGACGGGUAGCCGGCAUGGGAGGGUGACCGGGCACCUUGGGACUACGAGAGGGCGCAGACUGCUACGGGCGGCAGCAGGGGGGAAUAUUGCAGAAUGGGGCGACGCCUGAUGUAGCAACGCCGGGUGCGGGAUGACCGCCUUCGGGUUGUAAACAGCUUUGGCCUGUGACGAGGCGUGAGUGACGGUAACGGGUAAAGAAGCCCCGGCUAACUACGUG
rnacentral:rRNA from 1 species